GAUGAACGCUGGCGGCGUGCUUAACACAUGCAAGUCGAACGAAGCAGAUUGAGAUCUUCGGAAGGAUAUCUGACUGAGUGGCGGACGGGUGAGUAACGCGUGGGUAACCUGCCUCAUACAGGGGGAUAACAGUUAGAAAUGACUGCUAAUACCGCAUAAGCGCACAGUAUCGCAUGGUACAGUGUGAAAAACUCCGGUGGUAUGAGAUGGACCCGCGUCUGAUUAGCUAGUUGGUGGGGUAACGGCCUACCAAGGCGACGAUCAGUAGCCGACCUGAGAGGGUGGCCGGCCACAUUGGGACUGAGACUCGGCCCAAACUCCUACGGGAGGCAGCAGUGGGGAAUAUUGCACAAUGGGCGAAAGCCUGAUGCAGCGACGCCGCGUGAGUGAAGAAGUAUUUCGGUAUGUAAAGCUCUAUCAGCAGGGAAGAAAAUGACGGUACCUGACUAAGAAGCACCGGCUAAAUACGUGCCAGCCGCCGCGGUAAAAC
rnacentral:rRNA from 1 species